rnacentral:lncRNA from 1 species
CCAUAUAUUGUAACUCUAGCUGCCAAGUGUAAAUCAGAUACCCAAAGGUGGAAGUCCCUUGCGCGAGUUGUGCACUUCAAGCUUGAUGCUUUUCUGCAAAAAUUUUCACUCCAUCAUGGGGAGUUUGUCUGUACAGAGUAUGACAUGAAAGGUUCGAAAAGAGAGAGACAGAAAGCGAGAAAGUGUUUGGAAUAAAAUGGGUUAGGGCACUCUAAAAAGUGUUGGCGAAAACAUACAGUGGGUGCAAGUCAUCGUGAUGGACGGUUUGACUCUUCAA